UACGUAGGGCGCAAGCGUUGUCCGGAAUUAUUGGGCGUAAAGAGCUCGUAGGCGGCUUGUCACGUCGGAUGUGAAAGCCCGGGGCUUAACCCCGGGUCUGCAUUCGAUACGGGCAGGCUAGAGUGUGGUAGGGGAGAUCGGAAUUCCUGGUGUAGCGGUGAAAUGCGCAGAUAUCAGGAGGAACACCCGUGGCUAAGGCGGCUCUCUAGUACGGUACUGACGCUGAGACGCGAAAGCGUGGGGAGCGAACAGG
rnacentral:rRNA from 1 species